rnacentral:rRNA from 1 species
AUUGAACGCUGGCGGCAGGCUUAACACAUGCAAGUCGAACGACGAAACCUAGCUUGCUAGGUGGAAUAGUGGCGGACGGGUGAGUAACACUUAGGAAUCUACCUAAUAGCGGGGGAUAGCCCGGGGAAACUCGGAAUAAUACCGCAUAUUUUCUACGGAAGAAAGGGGGCAGAAUACUGCUCUCACUAUUAGAUGAGCCUAAGCAGGAUUAGCCAGAUGGUGGGGUAACGGCCUACCAUAGCGACGAUCUUUAGCUGGUCUGAGAGGAUGAUCAGCCACACUGGGACUGAGACACGGCCCAGACUCCUACGGGAGGCAGCAGUGGGGAAUAUUGGACAAUGGGGGGAACCCUGAUCCAGCCAUGCCGCGUGUGUGAAGAAGGCCUUUUGGUUGCAAAGCACUUUAAGCAGUGAAGAAGACCUAUUGGUUAAUACCCAAUAGCGAUGACAUUAACUGCAGAAUAAGCACCGGCUAACUCUGUGCCAGCAGCCGCGGUAAUACAGAGGGUGCAAGCGUUAAUCGGAAUUACUGGGCGUAAAGCGAACGUAGGUGGUUAAAUAAGUCAGAUGUGAAAUCCCCGAGCUUAACUUGGGAACUGCAUCUGAAACUGUAUAACUAGAGUAGGUGAGAGGAAAGUAGAAUUCCAGGUGUAGCGGUGUGCGUAGAGAUCUGGAGGAAUACCGAUGGCGAAGGCAGCUUUCUGGCAUCAUACUGACACUGAGGUUCGAAAGCGUGGGUAGCAAACAGG